rnacentral:lncRNA from 1 species
AGGUCUGAGGAACGGAGCUCCCGGAAGUAAAGGCAUUGCCUCACAUUUGAGUCAUGACUUCAGGAUUUGUGGUCAGAAGCACGAGGUGGAGAAGUCCUGAUACAAUCUUUGUACUGUACGGUUGCCGUCUGGACUUCAUUGACUAUCCCGGAGCGAUCCAGCACAAGUGACAAGUGAAGACCUUGGCUGUGUUUCAGAAGCACAAUUACAACUCUUGGGGUAAAGAGCCUCAGCGACAAGGCCCAGGAAAGCAGGUGUAUUGAGAAUUAGAGAGACUCGGAGCGGGCCCCAGAGGAGAGGUUGGAAGGGCCUUGAGAGCAGAGGUCUGUUGUUUAACAUCAUCUUCGAGUGUACCCUAGCACGGCGGUCUCGGCUGGAGAGAUUUUCUGUGUGCUGAACUUAGAUGGAUAUGUCAAAGUGUACUCAAGCUUUCUUGAACUUUUUCCCCAUCUGAAAUCACUAAAAAUGUGCAGUAUUUCAAAAAGCCCAAGUUUGCCUCCAAAUAUGCUUGUGAAAUGUAUUUCAACACACAUAUCCAACAGUAAGAACAUGCUGGCCAUAUCAAUCCUCACAGCAACUCUUUAUUGCAGCAUAUUGAGGUUUAAUCAGGAAACAGGUUAGAGCUUCUAUGUACAGGUUUUCUUCUAGUUUGAGGUUUUCCUGAAAUAUGUGACACAGACUCGUUAUACAAAUGGCCACUAGUAAAUUAUUUCCAGCAUGUGUUACUCUGUCAACAGUGAUGCUUUCACAGAACCUUUGUCCUCCACAAUUCCCCCCCUCCAUUUAAACCAGGACAUUUCCAUCUCAGUGAGCCACUGCUGUAUUUGGGACCUAAGCGAGAAGCUGGAUAAACAGAGGCGCUAUUAUUAUUGUUACUGUCAAUAUAGUUUCCUUCCCUAGUUAUAACUGAUUAUUUCCUUUUUUCCAUUUCAAAACAUUUUUGUUCAAAUGCUUCUGAUGGCUCUCGUCACAAGCAAUAUUCCUUCGGAAAUAAUGCACCUUUUUAAUUUCUCAACCUAAAAUACACAGCCCGUCAUCUCCAUAGUAGGAUGAUGCUGUUAGAGAGAUCAGCUGUGUCUAGUUGGAGAAUUUUUAGGGGAAUAAGGGAUUACAGGAGCGAGUGCUUCCUCUAUUAGUUCGUGCAAAGUGAAGACAAGAAAGAAAGUCUGUAGGAUGUAAGAGGUGAUGUUACUCCAGCAAGAGUUGGGCAUUUGGAAACACAUGGAGUUAAAAGCAGUUUUCACUUAAUGUGCUUUGUUGUUUCUGCUACAAUAAAAAUAAAUAAUAAAAA